rnacentral:rRNA from 1 species
GAUGAACGCUGGCGGCGUGCCUAAUACAUGCAAGUCGAGCGAACGGACGAGAAGCUUGCUUCUCUGAUGUUAGCGGCGGACGGGUGAGUAACACGUGGAUAACCUACCUAUAAGACUGGGAUAACUUCGGGAAACCGGAGCUAAUACCGGAUAAUAUUUUGAACCGCAUGGUUCAAAAGUGAAAGACGGUCUUGCUGUCACUUAUAGAUGGAUCCGCGCUGCAUUAGCUAGUUGGUAAGGUAACGGCUUACCAAGGCAACGAUGCAUAGCCGACCUGAGAGGGUGAUCGGCCACACUGGACCUGAGACACGGUCCAGACUCCUACGGGAGGCAGCAGUAGGGAAUCUUCCGCAAUGGGCGAAAGCCUGACGGAGCAACGCCGCGUGAGUGAUGAAGGUCUUCGGAUCGUAAACUCUGUUAUUAGGGAAGAACAUAUGUGUAAGUAACUGUGCACAUCUUGACGGUACCUAAUCAGAAAGCCACGGCUAACUACGUG